AUUGAACGCUGGCGGCAGGCCUAACACAUGCAAGUCGAGCGCGCGGCGGACGGGUGAGUAAUGUGUGGGGAACUGCCCGCUAGAGGGGGGUAACUACUGGAAAAGGUGGCUAAUACCGCAUAUUGCCUGAUGAGUACAUAUGGGAGUGUCUAGUGGGUAGGGUAAUGGCUUACCCAGGCGCCGAUCCCUAGCUGGUCUGAGAGGAUGAUAAGCCACACUGGGACUGAGACACGGCCCAGACUCCUACGGGAGGCAGCAGUGGGGAAUAUUGCACAAUGGGCGCAAGCCUGAUGCAGCCAUGCCGCGUGUAUGAAGAAGGCCUUGGGGUUGUAAAGUACUUUCAGACGGGAGGCGUUACCGACAGAAGAAGCACCGGCUAACUCCGUGCCAGCAGCCGCGGUAAUUC
rnacentral:rRNA from 1 species